UACAGAGGGUGCUAGCGUUAAUCGGAUUUACUGGGCGUAAAGCGUGUGUAGGCGGUUUGUUAAGUCGGGUGUGAAAUCCCUGGGCUCAACCUGGGAAUUGCAUUCGAUACUGGCAAGCUAGAGUACGGUAGAGGGCGGCGGAAUUCCUGGUGUAGCGGUGAAAUGCGCAGAUAUCAGGAGGAACACCGAUUGCGAAGGCAGCUCGCUGGGACGUCACUGACGCUGAGACGCGAAAGCGUGGGGAGCAAACAGG
rnacentral:rRNA from 1 species